UUUCAUCGACCCCAGCCACAACGGCCGAUCCGCCGGGCGGUCCUGACCAUACGUCGCCAAAAUUGCUUGGGCCUC
rnacentral:antisense_RNA from 1 species